rnacentral:rRNA from 1 species
UACGUAGGGGCCUAGCGUUGUCCGGAAUUAUUGGGCGUAAAGAGCUCGUAGGCGGUUCGGCAAGUCGGAUGUGAAAUCUCCACGCUUAACGUGGAGGGGCCAUUCGAAACUGCUGUGACUCGAGUCCGGUAGGGGAGUGUGGAAUUCCCGGUGUAGCGGUGAAAUGCGCAGAUAUCGGGAGGAAUACCGGUGGCGAAGGCGGCCUUCUGGGCCAUUCUUGACGCUGAGACGCGAAAGCGUGGGUAGCAAACGGG